rnacentral:rRNA from 1 species
GACGAACGCUGGCGGCGUGCUUAACACAUGCAAGUCGAACGGUAAGGCCCUGCUUUUGUGGGGUGCUCGAGUGGCGAACGGGUGAGUAACCCGUGAGUAACCUCCUCUUGACUUUGGGAUAACUUCAGGAAACUGGGGCUAAUACCGGAUAGAAUACCCUGCUGCAUGGUGGGGGUUGGAAAGUUUCGGCGGAUGGGGCUGGACGCGCGGCGUAUCAGAUUGUUGGUGGGGUAGUGGCUUACUAAGGCUUUGAUGGGUAGCCGAACGGAGAGGGGGAUCGGCCACACGGGAACUGAGACACGGACCAGAGUACUGCGGUAGGCAGCAGUAGGGAAUCUGAGGCAAUGGUCGAGAGUCUGACAGAGUAACGGCGAGUGAGUGAAGAAGGUGUUCGGAGCGGAAAACUCUGUUGUUGGAGAAGAACAAGGACGUUAGUAACUGAACGGCGCCUGACGGUAACUAAUCAGAAAGCCACGGCUAACUACGUG